CAUCGGCUAACUCCGUGCCAGCAGCCGCGGUAAUACGGAGGAUGCGAGCGUUAUCCGGAUUUAUUGGGGUUAAAGGGUGCGUAGGCGGGCUGUUAAGUCAGCGGUCAAAUGUCGGGGCUCAACCGUAAAAUUGCAGUUGAUACUGGCAUCCUUGAGUACAGUAGAGGUAGGCGGAAUUCGUGGUGUAGCGGUGAAAUGCUUAGAUAUCACGAAGAACUCCGAUUGCGAAGGCAGCCUGCUGGACUGUAACUGACGCUGAUGCUCGAAAGUGUGGGUAUCAAACAG
rnacentral:rRNA from 1 species